rnacentral:tRNA from 1 species
GGAGAGAUGGCCGAGUUGGCUUAAGGCGCUCGCCUGCUAAGCGAGUGUAGGGCGUAAAGCUUUACCGAGGGUUCGAAUCCCUCUCUCUCCGCCA